AAAUUUAAAAGUAUGUUACGUCACUGUUUGUAAAUAUUUGUUUAGGCAAGUGCGAUGUUUGCGGAACGAGCCGAAGGCGAGUGGAGUAAUUACACGUGCCUAAACAAUCAUUUGCAAGCAGUGACGUAACACAUUUUACAUGUUUGUGGA